rnacentral:rRNA from 1 species
CCUACGGGAGGCAGCAGUGGGGAAUAUUGCGCAAUGGGCGAAAGCCUGACGCAGCGACGCCGCGUGAGGGAUGAAGGUCUUCGGAGCGUAAACCUCUGUCAGCAGGGAAGAACGGUCACGGUGCUAAGCAGCAGUGAAUUGACGGUACGUGCAAAGGAAGCACCGGCUAACUCCGGGCCAGCAGCCGCGGUAAUACGGAGGGUGCGCGCGUUCAUCGGAAUUACUGGGCGGAAAGCGCUCGUAGGCGGUAUGUCAAGUCAAGGGUGAAAUCCCCUCGCUCAACGUGGGAACUGCCUUUGAAACUGGCAAACUGUAGUGUGUGAGAGGUUAGUGGAAUUCCAGGUGU